rnacentral:snRNA from 1 species
AGAUGUGAGGAUGAUCUGGCUGCGACAUCUGUCACCCCACUGAUUGCCAGGGUUGAUUCAGCUGAUCUGGCUGGCUAGGCGGGUGUCCCCUUCCUCCCUCACCACUCCAUGUGCAUCCCUCCUGAAGCUGUGAGCUUGAUGGAAGAGGACGACUUUCCCCAAUAGAGGAGGACUGUUCUUCGGUCAAGGGUAUACAAGUAGGUGUGCUCCCCUGCUAGAACCUCCAAACAAGCUCUCAUCUGCUGAUUUAAAUGCUGAUCUCAUCCCAAAACUCUCACAGAAACAGAAUAAUGUUGGACCAAAUAUCU